UUAGAAAAACAAACACAGCGACAUGUUUCCUCGUCUGAUUCUCGUCUCUUUUCUCCUGACAGCUGAAAGAAAAACCAUCACCAGAGACAAAUAUCUGAAGGUCACGCAGAGCGCCAAACUGACGUACAGCGUGUUCAUCGUGAAGAGCUGUUUCUACGGAGCGUUUGUAGCUUUUCUGCUGCUCAAGUUUCAGGGGGCGAAGCAGAAGAACUGAGAGCAGAGCCGACGCCUCACAAGAGGAUUCUGGAAAUCUGCUCAGUGUUCAUGUCUGUGUAUGAAGUUAGCAAACCUUUAAUCUUCAAGCUACUUUUAAAAUGAUUGUUCUUCGGGGCGCCAUAUA